ACAGAUGUGGCGGAAUAGGUAGACGCGCUAGAUUUAGGUCCUAGUAACGAUAGUUAUGAGAGUUCAAAUCUCUCCAUCUGUA
rnacentral:tRNA from 1 species